rnacentral:rRNA from 1 species
GUAAUAGUCCUGUAUGUUAAACGAGAAGACUUUAGAUAUGAUCCAGAGUACCACGGGACACGUGAAACCCUGUGGGAAGCAGGAGGGACCACCCUCCAAGGCUAAAUACUACCUAGUGACCGAUAGCGUAUAGUACCGUGAGGGAAAGGUGAAAAGAACCCCGGGAGGGGAGUGAAAUAGAACCUGAAACCCUGCACUUACAAGCUGUGGAAGCACAUUUCUUGUGUGACCGCGUACUUUUUGUAGAACGGGCCAACGAGUUACGUUAAGUAG